rnacentral:rRNA from 1 species
UACGUAGGGGCGAGCGUUGUCCGGAAUGACUGGGCGUAAAGGGCGUGUAGGCGGCCGAUUAAGUCUGGAGUGAAAGUCCUGUUUUUAAGAUGGGAAUAGCUUUGGAUACUGGUUGGCUUGAGUGCGGAAGAGGUAAGUGGAAUUCCCAGUGUAGCGGUGAAAUGCGUAGAGAUUGGGAGGAACACCAGUGGCGAAGGCGACUUACUGGGCCGUAACUGACGCUGAGGCGCGAAAGCGUGGGGAGCGAACAGGAUUAGAUACCCUGGUAGUCCCUGAG